UGAAGGUUGCCAAAGAAGCCAGUGCGCUUCUCUCGUAUGACCCGAACCUGAGGGAGGCAUUGUGGCCAUUCCUUGAGGAGGCUCGCACUAAGAUCUUGAGCAUCUGGGACCAGGCAGACAUUGUCAAGGUCAUCGAGGUCGAGCUCAAGGACACAAUGGCAGCAGCAGCAGCAAGGAAAGGAAUUCAAGGCCAUGGGAGCUGCUUCUAGUAUAGGACGUGUUGGACCUGCUGCUGCUGCCAGUUGUGUUACCCGACCAAGUCCCCAAGCUGCAUCCUGCUGCUCCUGCCCCGGCCGUCCUCAACUUGCUCCUGACAGCUACUGCAGGUGAGACAAUUGCCUCCAUCUACUGCAGAGGAGGUAUGGCUACCGCGCAAUGAUGCUGGAGACUGUUGCCGCAGUGCUGGGGAUGGAGACAGAUUGCAUUGGAAAUAUUCUGUUAUUCCUUACCUAAUGUUCUUGUUGCUGAUAAUAGGGCAUGUAGAUAGCAAGUUAUUUUCCUAGUGGUUACUUAUGCUUAUUGUGUAUCACAUUUAAAAAGAAAAUGCACAAUGAGCUUGUUUGACCUUUUUUAUGCUUAUGUAUGCUUGAUCAGGGUAGUUCUUUUUUAAUUUGAUGACAAUGAACCAAUAUAACCAGUCAUCAGUACCUAGUGUGCAUUGCCAAGUACAACAGUUCUACAUUGUAUGGAAUCAUCUAUAGAUAUUAUUUAUCGAUAUGGGUUAACUCAUCCUUAUUGUUCGAUCCUCUCUUUUAGUUAAUAAUGUAUGCAUGCCUUGUAUGUUCUGUCUUCUUUACCUGUUCUGUCCUCGGGCAAUUAAACAUUGUAUCUAUUUUUAUUGUGAUAUGCAACUCUUCAAAAAAAGAAACUGUAUUAUGGAAAUACUCAUCUGCAUGGAAUUUCUAUGUAUUCUGGUAGUUUAUUUUUGAUACUGUAUUGCUGUAUUCCCAAUCUGCGUGGGAGCCGAAGCUUGAUUUGUUCUUGUUUCUGUUUCAGUACUAGUACAAUGUAAUGAUUUUGUGCUUUCAUGAAGUAUUUUGCGCUAUUUUUAUCUGUCGAGCAAUUUAGAAGACCUGUAGAGCAUUUAACUAGACAGUUGACUUUGCAUGUGCAACUAUGCUUGCUUAGAGCAGCCCUUGACUGGUUACAUUAUUGUGAUGGACCGUGCUGUUCUUAGUUGUGCUACAGUAUGUGUUCCUUGUUGUUUACACUUGUUAGCCAAAUCAUUGCACACGCAGUGUUAAUGCGAUGUUGUAAAAAAAUUCUUGUUUGUACAAUGUAUCUGCUACAUUUGUUUUCAUCUUGAUAGCUAGCAUCCUAGCACCAUGAACUUUGAUUGUAAAAUCUCUAUAUGCUGUAAAAUUAAUUGGGUCAGUCUCGAAUUUGUUGUGAAUUGUAAGAUGCUUCAAGUAAAUGUUUUUUUGCCUUCUCACGUGUAGGCGGUCAGGCGAGACAACAAGUAGAGGUUCAGUCUGUUGGAGGAGUAUGGUGAGCUGCUGAUUCGGGCUAACCAGGGGCACACUGUGGCAGGCGUCCUGACUAUGAGCAGGAGCAGGUGCAUGUGCCUGUUUGUAAUGCUAACGAAGGAGCUCCAUCCUGAAGAAUAUAGUGCUUGUAGAGCUUGUAAAUUAGUUACUCCACUUGUAGAGUUAUUUGUAGAGCAGGAGCACCAUUGUAUUGCGUGUUAUUUGUAGAGCAGGAGCUCCAUACAGAAUCUGGCUCUAUACUGAAUCUGGCUGUUGUUAUUUGAA